rnacentral:piRNA from 1 species
UAGCAAUGUUGGGUUCAAAGGAGCUGGUA